UACAGAGACUGCAAGCGUUAAUCGGAAUUACUGGGCGUAAAGCGUGCGCAGGCGGCUUUGCAAGACAGAUGUGAAAUCCCCGGGCUUAACCUGGGAACUGCAUUUGUGACUGCAAGGCUGGAGUGCGGCAGAGGGGGAUGGAAUUCCGCGUGUAGCAGUGAAAUGCGUAGAUAUGCGGAGGAACCCCAGAGGCGAAGGCGGCAGCCUGGUUGGUAUCUGACGCUCGGACACGACAGCAUGGGGAGCGAACGGG
rnacentral:rRNA from 1 species